GGGGCUGUAACUCAGAUGGUAGAGUGCUUGCCUAGGAAACAUGAGGCCCUGGUUUGAUUCCCAGCACCA
rnacentral:tRNA from 1 species